rnacentral:rRNA from 1 species
UACGUAGGGUGCGAGCGUUGUCCGGAAUUAUUGGGCGUAAAGGGCUCGUAGGCGGUCUGUCGCGUCGAAAGUGAAAACCCAGGGCUUAACCCUGGGCCUGCUUCCGAUACGGGCAGACUAGAGGUAUGCAGGGGAGAACGGAAUUCCUGGUGUAGCGGUGAAAUGCGCAGAUAUCAGGAGGAACACCGGUGGCGAAGGCGGUUCUCUGGGCAUUACCUGACGCUGAGGAGCGAAAAUGUGGGGAGCGAACAGG